GUCCGAGUGGCGAAAUGGUAGCCGCGUUGGUCUUAGGAACCAAUGAGCAAAGCUCGUGUCAGUUCGAAUCUGACCUCGGAUA
rnacentral:tRNA from 1 species